UACUACAUGGAUAACUGUGGUAAUUCUAGAGCUAAUACAUGCUAAAAAUCCCGACUUCGGAAGGGAUGUAUUUAUUAGAUUAAAAACCAAUGCCCUUCGGGGCUCUCUGGUGAUUCAUAAUAACUGCUCGAAUCGCAUGGCCUUGCGCCGGCGAUGGCUCAUUCAAAUUUCUGCCCUAUCAACUUUCGACGGCUGGGUCUUGGCCAGCCAUGGUGACAACGGGUAACGGAGGGUUAGGGCUCGACCCCGGAGAAGGAGCCUGAGAGACGGCUACUACAUCCAAGGAAGGCAGCAGGCGCGCAAAUUACCCAAUCCCAAUUCGGGGAGGUAGUGACAAUAAAUACUGAUACAGGGCUCUUUUGGGUCUUGUAAUCGGAAUGAGAACAAUUUAAAUCCCUUAACGAGGAACAAUUGGAGGGCAAGUCUGGUGCCAGCAGCCGCGGUAAUUCCAGCUCCAAUAGCGUAUAUUAAAGUUGUUGCAGUUAAAAAGCUCGUAGUUGAACCUUGGGCCUGGCUGGCCGGUCCGCCUCACCGCGUGCACUGGUCCGGCCGGGCCUUUCCCUCUGGGGAGCCGCAUGCCCUUCACUGGGCGUGUCGGGGAACCAGGACUUUUACUGUGAAAAAAUUAGAGUGUUCAAAGCAGGCCUAUGCUCGAAUACAUUAGCAUGGAAUAAUAGAAUAGGACGUGUGGUUCUAUUUUGUUGGUUUCUAGGACCGCCGUAAUGAUUAAUAGGGACAGUCGGGGGCGUCAGUAUUCAAUUGUCAGAGGUGAAAUUCUUGGAUUUAUUGAAGACUAACUGCUGCGAAAGCGUUCGCCAAGGAUGUUUUCAUUAAUCAGGAACGAAAGUUAGGGGAUCGAAGACGAUCAGAUACCGUCGUAGUCUUAACCAUAAACUAUGCCGACUCGGGAUC
rnacentral:rRNA from 1 species